CAGCAGCCGCGGGAAUACGUAGGUGGCAAGCGUUGUCCGGAAUUAUUGGGCGUAAAGGGCUCGCAGGCGGUUUCUUAAGUCUGAUGUGAAAGCCCCCGGCUCAACCGGGGAGGGUCAUUGGAAACUGGGAAACUUGAGUGCAGAAGAGGAGAGUGGAAUUCCACAUGUAGCGGUGAAAUGCGUAGAGAUGUGGAGGAACACCAGUGGCGAAGGCGACUCUCUGGUCUGUAACUGACGCUGAGGAGCGAAAGCGUGGGGAGCGAACAGGAUUAGAUACCCCAGUAGUCCCUGUCUCUUAUAC
rnacentral:rRNA from 1 species